UGUGGCCAUACCAUCCUGAAUGCACCCAAUCUCAUCUGAUCUCUGAAGCUAAGCAGGGUCAUGCCUGGUUAGUACUUGGAUGGGAGAAUGGUGAGCACACUGGACCAUGC
ensembl:rRNA 5S_rRNA 5S ribosomal RNA